GAUGAACGCUGACAGAAUGCUUAACACAUGCAAGUCAACUUGAACUUCGGUUUGGGUGGCGGACGGGUGAGUAACGCGUACAGAACUUGCCUCACAGUUAGGGACAACAUUUGGAAACGAAUGCUAAUACCUGAUAUUAUGAUUUUAGGGCAUCCUAGAAUUAUGAAAGCUAUAUGCGCUGUGAGAGAGCCUUGCGUCCCAUUAGCUAGUUGGAGAGGUAACGGCUCACCAAGGCGAUGAUGGGUAGCCGGCCUGAGAGGGUGAACGGCCACAAGGGGACUGAGACACGGCCCUUACUCCUACGGGAGGCAGCAGUGGGGAAUAUUGGACAAUGGACCAAGAGUAUGAUCCAGCAAUUCUGUGUGCACGAUGAAGUUUUUCGGAAUGUAAAGUGCUUUCAGUUGGGAAGAAAAAAAUGACGGUACCAACAGAAGAAGUGACGGCUAAAUACGUG
rnacentral:rRNA from 1 species